UCAGGACGAACGCUGGCGGCGUGCUUAACACAUGCAAGUCGAACGAUGAAGCCCUUCGGGGUGGAUUAGUGGCGAACGGGUGAGUAACACGUGGGCAAUCUGCCCUUCACUCUGGGACAAGCCCUGGAAACGGGGUCUAAUACCGGAUGACACUCUGUCCCGCAUGGGACGGGGUUGAAAGCUCCGGCGGUGAAGGAUGAGCCCGCGGCCUAUCAGCUUGUUGGUGGGGUGAUGGCCUACCAAGGCGACGACGGGUAGCCGGCCUGAGAGGGCGACCGGCCACACUGGGACUGAGACACGGCCCAGACUCCUACGGGAGGCAGCAGUGGGGGAUAUUGCACAAUGGGCGAAAGCCUGAUGCAGCGACGCCGCGUGAGGGAUGACGGCCUUCGGGUUGUAAACCUCUUUCAGCAGGGAAGAAGCGAAAGUGACGGUACCUGCAGAAGAAGCGCCGGCUAACUACGUGCCAGCAGCCGCGGUAAUACGUAGGGCGCAAGCGUUGUCCGGAAUUAUUGGGCGUAAAGAGCUCGUAGGCGGCUUGUUGCGUCGGUUGUGAAAGCCCGGGGCUUAACCCCGGGUC
rnacentral:rRNA from 1 species